CGUUGAUUACGUCCCUGCCCUUUGUACACACCGCCCGUCGCUACUACCGAUUGAAUGGCUCAGUGAGGCGUCCGGACUGGCCCAGAGAGGAGGGAAACCACCGCUCAGGGCCGGAAAGCUCUCCAAACUCGGUCAUUUAGAGGAAGUAAAAGUCGUAACAAGG
rnacentral:rRNA from 1 species